rnacentral:rRNA from 1 species
GACGAACGCUGGCGGCGUGCCUAAUACAUGCAAGUCGAACGCAGUGGGGACGGGUGAGUAACCCGUUGGUAACCUCCCAUCAGAGGGGAUAACACUUGCAAACAGGUGCUAAACCGACACUGAUGGAUGGACCCGCGGUGCAUUAGCUAGUUGGUGGGGUAACGGCUCACCAAGGCCAGUAAGCAUAGCCGACCGGAGAGAGGGAUCGCCCACCUGGGAACUGAGACACGGACCAUGCUCCUACGGGAGGCAGCAGUAGGGAAUCUUCGGCAAUGGACGAAAGUCUGGCCGAGCAACGCAGCGUGAGUGAAGAAGGUUUUCGGAUCGUAAAACUCUGUUGUGAGAGAAGCGGUAUCUAACCAGAAAGCCACGGCUAACUACGUGCCAGCAGCCGCGGUAAUAC